ACGGAAGGCAGCAGUGGGGAAUAUUGCACAAUGGGGGAAACCCUGAUGCAGCGACGCCGCGUGAGUGAAGAAGUUAUUCGUAAUGUAAAGCUCUAUCAGCAGGGAAGAAAAUGACGGUACCUGACUAAGAAGCCCCGGCUAACUACGUGCCAGCAGCCGCGGUAAUACGUAGGGGGCAAGCGUUAUCCGGAUUUACUGGGUGUAAAGGGAGCGUAGACGGUCUGGCAAGUCUGAUGUGAAAGGCAGGGGCUCAACUCCUGGACUGCAUUGGAAACUGUCAGUCUUGAGUGUCGGAGAGGUAAGCGGAAUUCCUAGUGUAGCGGUGAAAUGCAUAGAUAUUAGGAGGAACACCAGUGGCGAAGGCGGCUUACUGGACGAUAACUGACGUUGAGGCUCGAAAGCGUGGGGAGCAAACAGGAUUAGAUACCCUGGUA
rnacentral:rRNA from 1 species